UGAGAACCAUUUUGUAUGGGCGCCCCCACGGAUCCUCCUGUAGGGAGUCGAGGAACUCCGUCCACGCCUUGCCCUUUGCCACCCUGAUGGCCCGCCUGAGGCCCUUAGAUUAGACUAACUGUCAAACGUAUGAAAUCUUUUCAAGUCACACUCAAAAUGCUAUUAAUCUAAAAUUAAAAUUAUAAUUAACUAUUUACUAUUUUUACUAUUUACUAUUUACUGUUUUUAGUAAAAAUAGUACUUAAUACAAUGGAUGUCUCAUCAGAAACUGAUAGUGGUGAGAUUAAGCUAUAUCCAGAAGUACAACCAAAGUUAAACGAUAUAAUGCAGGACUGUAUAAAAAUUACGACACUUAUAGAGAUAAGCUAUGUUUUCGAACCAUAUCAAAGUGGGAUACUUUAGGUCAGAAACAACAUAUAACAUCAG